UUGGGAAUAUUGCACAAUUGGCGCAAGCCUGAUGCAGCCAUGCCGCGUGUGUUAAUAAGGCCUUCGGGUUGUAAAGCACUUUCAGCGGGGAGUAAGGCGAUAAGGUUAAUAACCUUGUCGAUUGACGUUACCCGCAGAAGAAGCACCUGCUAACUCCGUGCCAGCAGCCGCGGUAAUACGGAUGGUGCAAGCGUUAAUCGGAAUUACUGGGCGUAAAGCGCACGCAGGCGGUCUGUCAAGUCGGAUGUGAAAUCCCCGGGCUCAACCUGGGAACUGCAUUCGAAACUGGCAGGCUAGAGUCUUGUAGAGGGGGGUAGAAUUCCAGGUGUAGCGGUGAAAUGCGUAGAGAUCUGGAGGAAUACCGGUGGCGAAGGCGGCCCCCUGGACAAAGACUGACGCUCAGGUGCGAAAGCGUGGGGAGCAAACAGG
rnacentral:rRNA from 1 species